UACGUAGGUGGCAAGCGUUGUCCGGAAUUAUUGGGCGUAAAGCGCGCGCAGGCGGCUUUCUAAGUCCAUCUUAAAAGUGCGGGGCUUAACCCCGUGAUGGGAUGGAAACUGGGAAGCUGGAGUAUCGGAGAGGAAAGUGGAAUUCCUAGUGUAGCGGUGAAAUGCGUAGAGAUUAGGAAGAACACCGGUGGCGAAGGCGACUUUCUGGACGACAACUGACGCUGAGGCGCGAAAGCGUGGGGAGCAAACAGG
rnacentral:rRNA from 2 species